rnacentral:rRNA from 1 species
UACGUAGGGUGCAAGCGUUGUCCGGAAUUAUUGGGCGUAAAGAGCUCGUAGGCGGUUUGUCGCGUCUGGUGUGAAAAAUCCAGGGCUUAACCCCUGGACCUGCAUCGGGUACGGGGCAGACUAGAGUGCGGUAGGGGGAGAUCGGAAUUCCUGGUGUAGCGGUGAAAUGCGCAGAUAUCAGGAGGAACACCCGUGGCGAAGGCGGCUUCCUGGGGCCAUCCUGACACUGAGAAGCGAAAGCUAGGGGGAGCGAACGGG